rnacentral:rRNA from 1 species
UACGUAGGGUGCGAGCGUUAAUCGGAAUUACUGGGCGUAAAGCGUGCGCAGGCGGUUCGUUGUGUCUGAUGUGAAAGCCCCGGGCUUAACUUGGGAAUGGCAUUGGAAACUGGCGAGCUAGAGUGUGGCAGAGGGGGGUGGAAUUCCGCGUGUAGCAGUGAAAUGCGUAGAGAUGCGGAGGAACACCGAUGGCGAAGGCAGCCCCCUGGGCUGACACUGACGCUCAGGCACGAAAGCGUGGGGAGCAAACAGG